rnacentral:miRNA from 1 species
UUUUUGGAGACUGCACAUGUGAUG